GAGGAUGUGGCUCAGUGGAAGAGCGUCCGUUUGGCACGCAGGAGGUCUCUGGUUCGAUUGCUGACAUCUCA
rnacentral:tRNA from 1 species